GACGAACGCUGGCGGCGUGCUUAACACAUGCAAGUCGAACGGUAAGGCCCCAGCUUGCUGGGGUACACGAGUGGCGAACGGGUGAGUAACACGUGGGUGACCUGCCCCGCACUUCGGGAUAAGCCUGGGAAACUGGGUCUAAUACCGGAUAGGACCGCACCGUGAGGGUGUGGUGGAAAGUGUUUCGGUGUGGGAUGGGCGCGCGGCCUAUCAGCUUGUUGGUGGGGUAAUGGCCUACCAAGGCGGCGACGGGUAGCCGGCCUGGGAGGGUGGACGGCCACAUUGGGACUGAGACACGGCCCAGACUCCUACGGGAGGCAGCAGUGGGGAAUAUUGCACAAUGGGCGGAAGCCUGAUGCAGCGACGCCGCGUGGGGGAUGACGGCCUUCGGGUUGUAAACUCCUUUCACCAUCGACGAAGGUUUUAUGACGGUAGAUGGAGAAGAAGCACCGGCUAACUACGUG
rnacentral:rRNA from 1 species